rnacentral:siRNA from 1 species
GUUGGUCCCUUGAAUUAUAUAGCC